GAUGAAGAACGUAGCGAAAUGCGAUAAGUAAUGUGAAUUGCAGAAUCCAGUGAAUCAUCGAAUCUUUGAACGCACAUUGCGCCCGCCAGCAUUCUGGCGGGCAUGCCUGUUCGAGCGUCAUUUCAACCCUCGACCUCCCUUUGGGGAAGUCGGCGUUGGGGACCGGCAGCACACCGCCGGCCCUGAAAUGGAGUGGCGGCCCGUCCGCGGCGACCUCUGCGUAGUAAACCAACUCGCACCGGAACCCCGACGUGGCCACGCCGUAAAACACCCAACUUCUGAACGUUUGACCUCGGAUCAGGUAGGAAUACCCGCUGAACUUAAGCAUAUCAAUAAGCGGAGGA
rnacentral:misc_RNA from 1 species